rnacentral:tRNA from 1 species
AAAUAAGAAGUAAUUAUUACAUUUAGUUUCGACCUAAAAAUUUGACAAAAUUGUCCUUAUUUA